GAUGAAGAACGCAGCGAAAUGCGAUAAGUAGUGUGAAUUGCAGAAUUCAGUGAAUCAUCGAAUCUUUGAACGCACAUUGCGCCCCUUGGUAUUCCAUGGGGCAUGCCUGUUCGAGCGUCAUUUGUACCUUCAAGCUCUGCUUGGUGUUGGGUGUUUGUCUUGCCUCUGCGUGUAGACUCGCCUUAAAACAAUUGGCAGCCGGCGUAUUGAUUUCGGAGCGCAGUACAUCUCGCGCUUUGCACUCAUAACGACGACGUCCAAAAGUACAUUUUUACACUCUUGACCUCGGAUCAGGUAGGGAUACCCGCUGAACUUAAGCAUAUCAAUAAGCGGAGGA
rnacentral:misc_RNA from 1 species